rnacentral:rRNA from 1 species
UGCAAGUCGAACGAGAUCUUCGGAUCUAGUGGCGCACGGGUGCGUAACGCGUGGGAAUCUGCCCUUGGGUUCGGAAUAACUUCUGGAAACGGAAGCUAAUACCGGAUGAUGACGUAAGUCCAAAGAUUUAUCGCCCAAGGAUGAGCCCGCGUAGGAUUAGCUAGUUGGUGAGGUAAAGGCUCACCAAGGCGACGAUCCUUAGCUGGUCUGAGAGGAUGAUCAGCCACACUGGGACUGAGACACGGCCCAGACUCCUACGGGAGGCAGCAGUAGGGAAUAUUGGACAAUGGGGGAAACCCUGAUCCAGCAAUGCCGCGUGAGUGAUGAAGGCCUUAGGGUUGUAAAGCUCUUUUACCCGGGAUGAUAAUGACAGUACCGGGAGAAUAAGCUCCGGCUAACUCCGUGCCAGCAGCCGCGGUAAUACGGAGGGAGCUAGCGUUGUUCGGAAUUACUGGGCGUAAAGCGCACGUAGGCGGCUAUUCAAGUCAGAGGUGAAAGCCCGGGGCUCAACCCCGGAACUGCCUUUGAAACUAGAUAGCUUGAAUCCAGGAGAGGUGAGUGGAAUUCCGAG